GGGCGUGUAGCUCAGGUGGUAGAGCACUUGACUUUUAAUCAAGUUGUCCGGGGUUCGAGCCCCCGCACGCUCA
rnacentral:tRNA from 12 species